GACGAACGCUGGCGGCGUGCUUAACACAUGCAAGUCGAACGGAAAGGCCCUGCUUUUGUGGGGUGCUCGAGUGGCGAACGGGUGAGUAACACGUGAGUAACCUGCCCUUGACUUUGGGAUAACUUCAGGAAACUGGGGCUAAUACCGGAUAGGAGCUCCUGCUGCAUGGUGGGGGUUGGAAAGUUUCGGCGGUUGGGGAUGGACUCGCGGCUUAUCAGCUUGUUGGUGGGGUAGUGGCUUACCAAGGCUUUGACGGGUAGCCGGCCUGGGGGGGUGACCGGCCACAUUGGGCUUGAGAUACGGCCCAGACUCCUACGGGAGGCAGCAGUGGGGAAUAUUGCACAAUGGGCGGAAGCCUGAUGCAGCAACGCCGCGUGCGGGAUGACGGCCUUCGGGUUGUAAACCGCUUUCGCCUGUGACGAAGCGUGAGUGACGGUAAUGGGUAAAGAAGCACCGGCUAACUACGUG
rnacentral:rRNA from 1 species